GACGAACGCUGGCGGCGUGCUUAACACAUGCAAGUCGAACGGAUCUAUAGCAAUAUAGGUUAGUGGCGAACGGGUGAGUAACACGUGACCAAUCUGCCCCGGAGUGGGGAAUAACGGCGGGAAACUGUCGCUAAUACCGCAUAUUGAGACGAGUCUGCAUGGACAUGUCUUGAAAGAUUUAUCGCUCCGGGAUGAGGUCGCGCCCCAUUAGCUUGUUGGCGAGGUAACGGCUCACCAAGGCGACGAUGGGUAGCUGGUCUGAGAGGACGGUCAGCCACAUUGGGACUGAGACACGGCCCAGACUCCUACGGGAGGCAGCAGUCGGGAAUAUUCGGCCAAUGCGCGAAAGCGUGACCGAGCGACACCGCGUGGGCGACGAAGAACUUAGGUUUGUAAAGCCCUUUUGCUGGAGAGGAAUACUGUUGCGAUAACAUCAAGGCAGUUUGACAGUAUCCAGCGAAUAAGCCGCAGCUUACUACGUGCC
rnacentral:rRNA from 1 species